AAACUCGAGUCGUCAGUAGC
rnacentral:miRNA from 1 species